UACGGGGGGGGCAAGCGUUGUUCGGAAUUACUGGGCGUAAAGGGCUCGUAGGUGGCCAACUAAGUCAGACGUGAAAUCCCUCGGCUUAACCGGGGAACUGCGUCUGAUACUGGAUGGCUUGAGUUCGGGAGAGGGAUGCGGAAUUCCAGGUGUAGCGGUGAAAUGCGUAGAUAUCUGGAGGAACACCGGUGGCGAAGGCGGCAUCCUGGACCGACACUGACACUGAGGAGCGAAAGCCAGGGAGCAAACGGGAGUAGAA
rnacentral:rRNA from 1 species